CGCGCUUGGCCUUCUCCAGCAGAGCCAGGUCGUCCUGGUCCCACAUGUAGAUGGCGUAGGACAGCCGCGCCAUGAACUGAGGGUACAGCUGGUGGCUCUCAGUGGUGACACCUCUGGCAAAGCGUCGCAUGAGGUGCCACACGUCCAGCCUCACCACCAGCUGGUCCCACUCGGAGAACAUGGCGGAUGUGCCCGUCCGUCCAGUGAGGGAGCAGCAGUCACGGCCCACGUACAGCACCGCUGGAGGGGCCACCUGGGCUUCUCGGUACCGCCGCAUCAGCCCUGCGGCCAUGGGCAAAAGCCCAUCCCCCUCUGCAGCCGUGAGGACGGACAUGAGCACCUGGUAGAGGUGGAGAGCAGAGAACAACAAGUGCCCGCAGCUUUGCCAGCCAGCUUGGAGGUCAUCUGGACGUGUGACAAAAGGCAGAAAGAAAAUAUUCCAUCUUCAGAAUGUUGCCGAAGAUAGACGUGACCCUGGCCUUGGUCGCCUCCAGCCUAGACAGGGCGUCCCUGACAAAGACGGAGAGGAGCCAGCCCACGGUGGGCACCGGGUGCAGGGGUGGGACAGUCACCGGC